rnacentral:rRNA from 1 species
CGGGGUGCACCAGGCGCGAAAACUUCACAAUGGGGGCAACCCCGAUGAGGGAAUUCCAAGUGCUAGCACUUUUUGUGUUAGCUGUUCUCCUGUCUAAAAAACAGGAGACGUAAGGGCCGGGUAAGACGGGUGCCAGCCGCCGCGGUAAUACCCGCGGCCCGAGUGGUGGUCGAUAUUAUUGAGCCUAAAACGUUCGUAGCCGGUCUUGUAAAUCCUUGGGUAAAUCGGCCAGCUUAACUGUCCGAAGUCUGGGGAGACUGCAAGACUUGGGAUCGGGAGAGGUCAGAGGUACUUCUGGGGUAGGGGUAAAAUCCUGUAAUCCUAGAAGGACCACCGGUGGCGAAGGCGUCUGACUAGAACGAAUUCGACGGUGAGGAACGAAGCCCUGGGGCGCAAACGGGAUUAGAUACCCCGGUAGUCCAGGGUGUAAACGCUGCGGGCUUGGUGUUGGGGGUCCUUAGUGGGCGCCCAGUGCCGGAGAGAAGUUGUUAAGCCUGCUGCUUGGGGAGUACGUCCGCAAGGAUGAAACUUAAAGGAAUUGGCGGGGGAGCAC